CACAAUGAAGAUUGAGGAGAUAUUUAAUGAGCUGAUAAUAAACCUGCACAUACUCAGUGCUCAGCUAAAACAGAAGAAAAGGCCAUUGAUGAAUGCUGCAGCAGUAGAAAUAUGUAUGUAAACAUAGCAACAAAUACCUUUAAGAAGCUGGACAUCAAGAUGUGUUCUACUUCUGGAAGCAGUAACAACAGCAAAACAACUGGAUCAAAAAAGAAGAAAAAGAGAAGAGCACUCACGGGAAUUAGUCUCUACAGACCUCUGAAAGACUGUCUUCUAACCCAAAGAACAGUUACAGGAAAAUAA
rnacentral:lncRNA from 1 species